rnacentral:misc_RNA from 1 species
AGGAGGACAUGGCCAUCAUAAUGGGGUGAAAAGUGUGAUGGAGCAUUUGAAUGGUCGCCGGGAAUUUCCACGAUUUUGCAUAGGCAUUGGGAAUCCACCUGGGACUAUGGACAUGAAGGCAUAUCUGUUACAAAAAUUCAGUGAUACAGAGCGGAAACAGGUGGAUGCAGCUCUUGAUCAAGGAGUUGCAGCUGUCAGGACGGUAGUAUUGGAAGGAUUUGGCAGUAGAAUCUCGCGAUUUAAUAUAGGGCAGAAAUACAAGUAUCACAAAGUUUAAUGUUAUGUAUGGAAGAACACGAUAGUUGUAAUAACUUAAAACUAGCUAGUUGAGUAUUUCACUGGAGUCUACUUAGAAAGUUUUUGGACUCCGAUUAAUGUUUAUAGUUUCAUCUGUUAGCACUUGUAGAAUAGACUUAUUUCAAAG